CACUCAUCGAGACCGGCUGAGGGACAGGCCCUUUGAAGCCGGGGCAACCUGCGGAAUGUUCCGCGACGGUGCCAACUCCUGCGGUGGCGCAAGGCGCCCCGGCAGAUGGGCA
rnacentral:ncRNA from 2 species